CUUUCCGUGCUGAUCCUCGUUAAAACAAGGAGAAGUGUGGAAUUAUACAGUUUGUCUGGUCGCACAAAAACGCAGCAAUGGCGUAAGACGUAAUGUGAAAUCAAACAAUUAGCGGGCUGCGGGUUGCAGCUUGGCCGGCAAAUGGAAUCAGAUCUGUCGACGUAAAUCAGAGGCUAUUCCCUGAGUCAAAAAGCGCUGUUUUCACAAAGAAAUACAGGCUUACCGAGAUAAUGCGCCCCUAUGCAGGCGACAACCGUGAGGUUGACGACUUUGCGAGAAGACACGGGGUUUUCGGUUUUUAACCCGGCCAUGAGGUUAUUUUGCCCGCAGCUUUGUCGAUAA
rnacentral:ncRNA from 1 species